GCACUAAAAUCUAGAAAUUACAUACAUAUGAAAAUAUAGUUCUAUACAAUCCGAAAUGCUAAAAAAAUAUACAAUACAACCUUACUCUGUAAUUGUAAGUUUAGACAACUGAAUUCUACGAGGUCCUAUAUUUUGAAAACGUUGCAAUAUUUUCUCAUUCUCAAGUUUCAUAAAAAGAUCUUUCUUCAUGUAAACCACCAAAUUGUCAUUCAACAAUUCAUCUCCCAUUUUGUUGCGCAGAUCAUU
rnacentral:lncRNA from 1 species